rnacentral:rRNA from 1 species
AUGUGCCGUGUUUGGACGCUGCCGACCCUUCAUUGUCACGGGCCCGCGUCCGUCUGCUAUGGCGUCCUCACCACCGAUUUUUUCGCCGACCUUGGAGCUGUGAGGCGCUUGCCCCACCCCAGCUCCAGUUGCCUCUGUUUUACUUCUGAUUUUUGGAGGCAGUUUUUGGUUGUCCAUGUGCAGAGAACGACGGUUCAACUUGUUCUCGUCGGUGGAGAUGGGAUGCCCAAGAGCAUGGUCGAGGCGAUAUGGCAGACGAUGUGGCGUGUCUCAGAUGAUGACAGUGAUGGAUGGAUCUCCAAAAUGGUGCUCUCCGCCUGA